AUUUGAGUAUCUUAAAUUUAAAGUAUAACUCUGAAGAAGUUAAUAUAGGAGAUAAUCCUCUCAAGUA
rnacentral:tRNA from 1 species